rnacentral:rRNA from 1 species
GGAUGAACGCUGGCGGCGUGCUUAACACAUGCAAGUCGAACGGAAAGGCCCAAGCUUGCUUGGGUACUCGAGUGGCGAACGGGUGAGUAACACGUGGGUGAUCUGCCCUGCACUUCGGGAUAAGCCUGGGAAACUGGGUCUAAUACCGGAUAGGACCACAUUUUGGAUGGUGUGGUGGAAAGUUUUUCGGUGUGGGAUGAGCUCGCGGCCUAUCAGCUUGUUGGUGGGGUAAUGGCCUACCAAGGCGUCGACGGGUAGCCGGCCUGAGAGGGUGUACGGCCACAUUGGGACUGAGAUACGGCCCAGACUCCUACGGGAGGCAGCAGUGGGGAAUAUUGCACAAUGGGCGCAAGCCUGAUGCAGCGACGCCGCGUGGGGGAUGACGGCCUUCGGGUUGUAAACUCCUUUCGCUAGGGACGAAGCGUUAUGUGACGGUACCUGGAGAAGAAGCACCGGCUAACUACGUG